rnacentral:ncRNA from 1 species
CUAAAAGUAAUGAUCAGGAGAAGUAAGUAGCAAAAUCUUUUCAGAGAGUUGUCGGAUGGUGCAAGACAAUAUGAUCGGCUGGUGAAAGUAACCUGUGAACUUAACAUUCCAAAGGGAAACUCAGUAGAGUGUUACGGUGGUUCUCCGUUAACAGAACAGCAUUCGGUUGUUGCCUGAUGUGUAAGGCUUAUUUUUAUAAGCGAAGUAGAGUGGUACCACGGGGUUUAUUAGCUUCGUCUCUUAU